rnacentral:rRNA from 13 species
UGCAACUCGACCUCAUGAAGUCGGAGUCGCUAGUAAUCGCAGAUCAGCAACGCUGCGGUGAAUACGUUCCCGGGGCUUGUACACACCGCCCGUCAAGUCAUGAAAGUUGGUAACACCCGAAGCCGGUGGCCUAACCGUUGUGGGGGAGCCGUCGAAGGUGGGACUGGUGAUUAGGACUAAGUCGUAACAAGGUAGCCGUACCGGAAGGUGCGGCUGGAUCACCUCCUU